rnacentral:lncRNA from 1 species
AUGAAGCUCCUACUGGUGAGUCUACAGGCCGGACUGGGAGCACUGGGGGAGCUGGGCCGCGGUUUGGUUAUACGGGGGAAUCUCAGUUAUGUCCUUUAUGUUUAUCUUUACAGAGAGCAUGAACUCCCCCGUCUCCCCCGACCAGCCCAACGAUGAGCCUCAGACUAAUAACGGAGCCACAGCAGAAGCGAGCAGCUCCAGUGCAGAGGCGGGACAGGCCACCGGGCCUCAAGUUAAUGAUGUGACAACAGCUGAUGGAACGAAAUCCAGCACUGAAGAACAAGAGGAGAACGAGAGUCCGGAGUCGGAGGAGGCGGUGAAAGCCGCUCCGGUUCAGCGCAACACGAAGUCCAACAACCCUGCGCCGCGCAAACGCAGCAAACCCGUCGCCGCGUCCAAGAAGAGGACGCGGUCCUUCCGCCCGUGAGAUCGGCAGCGCCGCGGGAGGACGCAGACGCUACUACUGAUACCAAGCCAAGAGCACGAGGGCAGAAACACUGCUGUAUCCAGUGGCAUUUCCAUCUGUUCUGAUUAAAUAACCACGAAAUUAGGCCUGAUUCUGUUGGGAUGUACUGUAUUGGGUGUUGUUUCAUUGUUUGUUUGUUUGUUUGUUUGUCUGGUCACUCGUUUUGUGGUGCUGACAAUUUCAGGUCAAGAAGGUAAAACUCCGCCCCGGGAUUUUGGUUAGACUUGUUCGCUGCAGCCGAGCCGCCCAGGGCAGAAUGAAGUCUAGGUGAAAUCCCGGGGCGGAGUUUUACUUUCCGGACCGGAUCUGCCGUGGCACUCAGAGCAGACACAGCACAGUCUGAAGGGCAUUUCACCCUCACGUCACAGAAUCCAAACCCAGACCACCCCUCCACCCCCUGACCGGACCCGACCCAUCCGCCCCGACCCGAACGCUCAGCAGGUCUCAGAGUCCCGCUCAGACGCUCCGUUUCACUGGUGCUGGCUGCCCGAGGGCCGAGUGCCCAGAGCGGCCGUAGCUUUUAGAUAAAUAGAGAAAAAUAAAAAAGUAAUAAACCGCA